UACGUAGGGUGCAAGCGUUGUCCGGAAUUAUUGGGCGUAAAGAGCUCGUAGGCGGUCUGUCGCGUCGGCUGUGAAAACCCGGAGCUCAACUCCGGGCCUGCAGUCGAUACGGGCAAACUGGAGUGUUGCAGGGGAGACUGGAAUUCCUGGUGUAGCGGUGAAAUGCGCAGAUAUCAGGAGGAACACCGGUGGCGAAGGCGGUUCUCUGGGAAUGACCUGACGCUGAGGAGCGAAAGUGUGGGGAGCGAACAGG
rnacentral:rRNA from 1 species